rnacentral:lncRNA from 1 species
CCCACCGUCCACUCUCCUGACCAUCGUUGAUGGAUCUGCUAGUAGAUCUCGAUCCUACCAGAAAGUUCGUCACUCUCUAUAUCUCUCUGUAAUUUAAGAACAAUUAAUAAUUUUUUUUUUUAAAUAGUUAAAGAGUUAAAAUAUGCUAAAUAGAAAUUACUUACUAUCUGCUAUAUAUGACGAGCGAACGACCUCGAACCCCCACAGUGUGAGACGGUCUAUAUCAUCCAAUUCGCGAUAUUUCGAAUACAUUAAGCCUCUAUAGUUAACAGUCAAAUUAAUAAGUAACUAACUGAAUUUAAGAAUAAAUGAUUUAAUUAUUAACUCUAAAAAAAAUUGGAUGCCUAACCUGAUAUAUCGGAUCCUCAUACCUGCGGCAUAUGACAGUCCAGUCCUCAAUAUUGAUGCUGUCAUAUGGCCGCUGCUGUGCUGCCUCCACCCCCUGAUCCUGUACUAUAGUGUAUCAGUGGCAAUGAAUACGAUGUCGGUAAUCCUUGAAAUACGAG